rnacentral:rRNA from 1 species
UACGGAGGGUGCAAGCGUUAUCCGGAUUAUUGGGUUAAAGGGUCCGUAGGCGGACUCGUAAGUCAGUGGUGAAAUCUCAUAGCUUAACUAUGAAACUGCCAUUGAUACUGCGGGUCUUGAGUAAAGUAGAAGUGGCUGGAAUAAGUAGUGUAGCGGUGAAAUGCAUAGAUAUUACUAGAACACCAAUUGCGAAGGCAGGUCACUAUGUUUAACUGACGCUGAUGGACGAAAGCGUGGGGAGCGAACAGG